CCUACGGGAGGCAGCAGUGGGGAAUUUUGGACAAUGGGCGCAAGCCUGAUCCAGCAAUGCCGCGUGCAGGAUGAAGGCCUUCGGGUUGUAAACUGCUUUUGUACGGAACGAAACGGUCUCUUCUAAUACAGGGGGCUAAUGACGGUACCGUAAGAAUAAGCACCGGCUAACUACGUGCCAGCAGCCGCGGUAAUACGUAGGGUGCGAGCGUUAAUCGGAAUUACUGGGCGUAAAGCGUGCGCAGGCGGUGAUGUAAGACAGAUGUGAAAUCCCCGGGCUCAACCUGGGACCUGCAUUUGUGACUGCAUCGCUAGAGUACGGUAGAGGGGGAUGGAAUUCCGCGUGUAGCAGUGAAAUGCGUAGAUAUGCGGAGGAACACCGAUGGCGAAGGCAAUCCCCUGGACCUGUACUGACGCUCAUGCACGAAAGCGUGGGGAGCAAACAGGAUUAGAUACCCUGGUAGUCCACGCCCUAAACGAUGUCAACUGGUUGUUGGGUCUUCACUGACUCAGUAACGAAGCUAACGCGUGAAGUUGACCGCCUGGGGUGUUCGGCGCGAGUUAGUAAGUUAAGUUAGAGUGAGGCGNGAGAGNGCGACGGACGACGACGAGGGAGGAGG
rnacentral:rRNA from 1 species